rnacentral:rRNA from 1 species
AAUGAACGCUGGCGGCAUGCCUUACACAUGCAAGUCGAACGGCAGCAUGACCUAGCUUGCUAGGUUGAUGGCGAGUGGCGAACAGGUGAGUAAUGCAUCGGAACGUGCCUUUUAGUGGGGGAUAACGUAGCGAAAGUUACGCUAAUACCGCAUAUUCUCUGAGGAGGAAAGCAGGGGACCUUCGGGCCUUGCGCUAGAAGAGCGGCCGAUGUCGGAUUAGCUAGUUGGUGAGGUAAAGGCUCACCAAGGCAACGAUCCGUAGCGGGUCUGAGAGGAUGAUCCGCCACACUGGGACUGAGACACGGCCCAGACUCCUACGGGAGGCAGCAGUGGGGAAUUUUGGACAAUGGGCGCAAGCCUGAUCCAGCCAUGCCGCGUGAGUGAAGAAGGCCUUCGGGUUGUAAAGCUCUUUCGGCUGGGAAGAAAUCGCACCCUCUAAUACAGGGUGUGGAUGACGGUACCAGCAUAAGAAGCACCGGCUAACUACGUG